UGGGAAAGUGGAGCUAAUACCGGAUACGCCCUUUUGGGGAAAGGUUUACUGCCGAAGGAUCGGCCCGCGUCUGAUUAUCUAGUUGGUGGGGUAACGGCCUACCAAGGCGACGAUCAGUAUCUGGUCUGAGAGGAUGAUCAGCCACACUGGGACUGAGACACGGCCCAUACUCCUACGGGAGGCAGCAGUGGGGAAUAUUGGACAAUGGGCGCAAGCCUGAUCCAGCCAUGCCGCGUGAGUGAUGAAGGCCUUAGGGUUGUAAAGCUCUUUUAUCCGGGACCAUAAUGACGGUACCGGAGGAAUAAGCCCCGGCUAACUUCCUGCCAGCAGCCGGGGUAAUACGAAGGGGGCUAGCGUUGCUCGGAAUCACUGGGCGGUAAAGGGCCCGUAGGCGGGCGUUUUAAGUCGGGGGGUGAAAGCCUGUGGCUCAACCACAGAAUGGCCUUCGAUACUGGGACGCUUGAGUCUGG
rnacentral:rRNA from 1 species